UACAGAGGUCUCAAGCGUUGUUCGGAUUCAUUGGGCGUAAAGGGUGCGUAGGCGGCGCGGUAAGUCGGGUAUGAAAUCUCGGAGCUUAACUCCGAAACUGCAUUCGAUACUGCCGUGCUUGAGGACUGGAGAGGAGACUGGAAUUUACGGUGUAGCAGUGAAAUGCGUAGAUAUCGUAAGGAAGACCGGUGGCGAAGGCUAGUCUCUGGACAGUUACUGACACUGAGGCACGAAGGCCAGGGGAGCAAACGGG
rnacentral:rRNA from 1 species